UACGUAGGGCGCAAGCGUUGUCCGGAAUUAUUGGGCGUAAAGAGCUCGUAGGCGGUCUGUCGCGUCCGUUGUGAAAACUCGAGGCUCAACCUCGGGCUUGCAGUGGAUACGGGCAGACUAGAGUGCGGUAGGGGAGACUGGAAUUCCUGGUGUAGCGGUGGAAUGCGCAGAUAUCAGGAGGAACACCCGUGGCGAAAGCGGCUCUCUGGGACGGUACUGACGCUGAGACGCGAAAGCGUGGGGAGCAAACAGG
rnacentral:rRNA from 1 species